UUUAAUGAUAAAUUUAAUGGAAAAAUAAGUUUAAAAUUAGUUGGUUUAGGCAUAUGCAAUUUAAAAAUCUAUUAAGUCUAUGAACACAUUUCAAAGUGGAUGCAUGUUUUGUGAUAUACAGGAAGAAAAUCUUUGGUAGUUAACAUUUGUAGUAGUUUCAUGCUAUGUUCUGGAAAAAAUGCAUAUGUCUCUUCCUCUCCCACCCAAAGAUAAAGAUAUUUUUUUAAACACAUCUAGGAAUUUUUUAUUUCUAAAUGGCUAUGUUAAAGGCAUUAAAUUAUAAUAACCUGUACCUCAAAAUAAUAGAACCUAAAUAGGAGAAUUUAAACAUCUAAAUGAUGUAUCUGGCUUUGGGGAAAAAAUCAUUUUAUGCAUUUUAAAGAAUAGCUAUCAUUUGUGAAGAAUCCUAUAUUUUAAGAGUAUUCAGGUUACCAGUUGGGACCUAGUUCCUAAUUCUCAUCUAUGUAUAGCAGCAUACUUUGACAUAUCUUUUAAUACAAGUGAUCUUUGAAUGAAAAUAUUGUUAGGCAGUCAGCCAUGUUAAUCUUAACUUUAUUAAAAAUAUACAAUAGAAUAAAAAUUAUGUUUCAUCAAAAGUAAGAGAUUAAACCUGUAAAUACACAAUGAUUUCCAAAAGGCCAUAAGAGAGAUUAUAAAUGUCUCACUGAGAGUUCCUCACACAGAUGAAAUCAGAAGUCUUGCCUUUGAAAAACAAAAUGAAAAAUUUUAAAUAAUCUUUUCAUAUUUUACAAAUGAUUUUAAAUGUUUGACUAAUCUUCAUUUUGUUCUGUUUUUUAAAAUAUAGUGAAAUUUUCUCCAAUUACUAGUUUACUAUCAAUGGAAUUCUUCACCAAUAUCAAGACUAAACCUUAAUGGAACUAUUUAAAAUCUAUACACCUUUUAUCCUGUUUCUUUGUGAAGCAGUCAGAAAUAGCCAAUAGAUACAUUAUCAUGAAAAUAUUCAGGACAAAAUAUUAUUUUGAGUAAAUAACGCAAAUAUCUAUUAGAAAAAGAAAGUCUUGGAAGCAAAUUUAUUCAAAAUGUGAUAAUACAUCUACCUGAUCUGGUUAUAAUAACUCAAUCAUUUGACUUUCUCAGCUACAUUGUUAAGAAUGUAAAAUAAAGCUAUGUUAUCUAGAACAUCCCUUCUAGCUCUUAACAGUCUAUGAAUGUGCCACAUUCAAAAUGGCAAAGAUUUUAUUUUGUGUAUAAAAUAAAUACUUUCUGGAGCUAUUCUGAAAAAAAGCAAAACCAAUGUUGAAAUAGACUGUGCUAUAUAUGCGCACAUACAUAUGUCAUGAUUUGUUUUUGUUUUCAUUUUUAAGUCCUUAUGCCACCAUAGAAUUACAAUAUUUUUUAAAGAUUCGAGAAAAAUGUCCUUGCAGAAAGCUUCAUACCCAUUUUCUCAAGUAUAAUUAGAAAAUACAUCUAAUAGUCUUUCCAAAUCUAAUCUAAAAGAAUUGUGAAUUCUUUUCAUUGUGAAUACUUAAUGGAGAAUUUGAUCAUGAGGAUAGUAAUUAUUUAGAACAUAAAAAUAGUAUAUAACUAAUGUCCCCUAAUUUGAAGACUAUUGGAAUUUACUUUUAAUAACUGUAUGAGUAUGUAAACAUAGAUUGUGUUUAACAUUAACAUAUUUAACAUAUAUGGGUUAUGCCAUCUAGGGGAGGGGCGGGGGGAAGGAGAGGAAAAAUUGGAACAGAAGGUUUUGCAAGGGUCAGUGCUGAAAAAUUACACAUGCAUAUAUCGUAUAAAUUAAAAGCUAUAAUAAAAAAUAAAAUUUAAAAAAAAGAAUUUAUUUUUAAGAUAAAUUUCUUUCUGUGGAGAAUAGUACAAUAGUCUUUACGUUCUGUUGCUGCUUUAUACACCCACCACAUAAAGAAUAAGUAAAUUUAUGAUGUUCAAAUUAAUCUGGAACUUUGAAAACGCUUCUAAAUUACUUGUUAAAUAAGUGGAUUUCCAUUUUAAUGGGCAUCUAAAAUGUGUGUGUCUAUGUGUCUGUGUGUAAGUAAAACACAGCUUCCUUUUAAGACCCAGUACACACUACUUUGAUUAUCCAUAAAUCUAGUUUCAGGCCAUAAAUCUAAUAAACAGUUUUGAAUGAAAUUCUAGUUGAGGCAUCAUCUCCUAAUAAUAUGGUCUUGAUAAUGUACCUUCAUCUUCAAUUUAACAUUUCUAAGUCUAACAAAAUGAAUAAUUACUGUGUGUUUCUAGAAUAACUCAAUGUGUUCUGUUUUAUUUUUAAAUGAACACUGAGAAAAUUGGGGUACAAUUUGUUUCAAAGGUGAAAGGUAGAGUUUAGUAGCAAGCCUUAUAAAGGCACAAAUUGUGAUAAAAUUUCCAGUUCACUAAUAGAAAAUCUUUGCCUUUGUUCAGAUUUUAAGUGUUUGCUGAUUUAAAGGUGAUUAGCAGUAUCCACUUUAUUUAAAAAAAAAAAAAAAAGUUUGUCUUUUAAAAGGGACAAAAGGUUACUCCCCAAAAUGUUUUCUUCAUUAACUCUUUCUCCAUUGUUGCCUGGUUUAAGUUAGGACCAGAUUUACAACAUGGAAUAUUUAAUAAAGACAAUUCUUUGAAAUUCCUGAUAAUGUUAUGAUGAGAAAAGCAGGGUGUUCUAAUGUUUAGUACUUUAGGCUCAGUAUCAGGAGAAACUCCUUUGUAUUUCUUGUUCUACCAUUAACAGUAUGACUUUUGGCAAAUCCCUUAACUUGUCUGUUCAGUUUCCUUACCUGCAAAAUGAAGGUUAUUGUAUCUGCCAUUUCCUACUCUCACAAAUGUAUCAGGGGUUUAACAACCAGAAAAAGGAAGAGCCAAAUAUUUCAUUGACAGAAGACAUUUAUGGUAUUAUUUACUUUGUAUUGAAAAGCACCUAUUUUAAGAAAGAAAUCUACCAAGAUGAAUUGUGCCAAUUAAACUGAUUAGCUGUUUCAGUUAUUAAAAUAGUAAUAUUCAAAAUUAAAUUAAUAUUUAAUAUUUAUAUUCAUCAGAUAUGUUUAAAUUAUAAAUCUGUAGUAAAUUUUGUUUUGGAUAUUUAUUAUAUAGCAUUGUAGCCAUUUGUAGAACAUGACUUUUUUGUUUUUAAAAGACCUUUUUUUUAAAGUUAAUUGAUUUUAUUAUAGAGGACCACAUGAAUGACCUAAUUAAUAAUCUUAUGAUAGUAUUUGUAGCAUACUUUACAUUCAAGAAAUUCCAAAAUAUUGAAUCUGGUUAAUUAUUAUUGUGGAAGUUUUAAACAAAAUGUGGGGGGUGGAAUAGUUAGUUCUGAGGUCCUUUCUAGCUGUAAAUCACUAAAAUUAGAAAACUGAAAUUUUUUUACAUUUUUAUUAGUUUUGCACUGAAAUAUUUUCUUCUGUUAACUGGCCUAAAAUACAAGAUAUCCUAAUAAUCUUACACUUGUAAGCUUUAAUAUUUUAAAAUUGUACUAAAACUGUUGAAAUACCCUGAAGAUGCUUUUACUUUAUGCUAUAUGCUUUACUGAGGGAUGUUUUGGGGUUGUGCUGUUUUUUUGUUUGUUUUUUGUUUUCAGUUGGAUUGCCUGAUCUACCUUCUUAAUAAUUUUGAAACUAUGUAUUUCCUGACUUAUUUUAUGUUUUUUCAUUUGUAUAUAUUUGUAUAUAUAGAAAUUGUUUCUUUUUGUCAUUAGUGUUUAUAAUGUUGUAAAACCAAUAUUUUAGUUCUUGUGUCCUAUAUUUGGAACCAGGUUGAACACCUUAAAAUGAGUAUUCAGAUAGCACAACCACUACAAGAACUCUAGAUUUAAGACUCAAGAAAUCUGAGCAGUAGUACAAUUCUUCCACUUACCAACUGUCCCUGCUGAGUAAGUUUCUUGGAGCAUAUACUUAUUUAUAAAAUGAUAAAUUAGGACUAGAUAAUCUCUAAGAUUUCUCUGGCUCUGAAAUUCUAUAAUUCUGUGAUUAGCUAUAUCUGAUGAGGUUCACUGCAGGGUAGAGAGUUGUGGGAACCCCUACUGGUCAGUGCAAGUCCUUCAUAAAAGAAUUUGCACAUUUUUGUUAGACUGUUGGAACUGAGAAGUCAGCCUUUGCUAGGGAGACUGACUUCCUUAGUGGCAAGGUAAAAUUCCUAGCAGAGAAAUCCCUACAGAGAGGUAAAGAGGGGUGUGGUCCUGUUACGGAAAUAAAUGAGAGAGAUAAAGAGGGGUUAAUGCUGAAAAGAGAAUGCCUUCUUAGCAGGCAGGGAGUCCUCGCAGGCAACAAUGUCAAGGAGAGAGAGAUUCCUUGGCAUGACAUGACCUGCUUUUGGCCCUCUGCAAAGGAGUGGCCCAAGUUGCCCUUUUUUAUAAUUUGAAACUUUGGCUAGGGGCUGGGGGCAGUUUGAGUUGAAAUCAAACUGAAACUUUCGAAUUGAAUAGAAAUUUUCCAAUUGAAUGAUUAGUCCUAGACUAAUCUCCAACUCAAUAGAGGUUGACAGAAAUCUAGAUCUCUAGCUCAGCUUAAGAAGGAAUGGUCCUGGACUCAACUAGUCCCCCCAAGAUAACACAAUGAAACCACUUUAUCUUGAUGCUGUGGGACGUGUCUUUCUUAGGGGAAAGCUUCUCUGAGGAUUCAAGGAGAAUUUCUCAAGCGUUCCCCCCAAAGUCAGAGGACAGCUUCAGGGUUCCCCCCAUCAUAUCUGCAUAGCAAAAAGCAAAAUGUGUUUAAAUCUCUAUUUAAUUUUUUUCAGACAUUGAUUAUGCCCAUAUCCAUCCUAGUUCCCAUUUUGAGAUCUAUAUCUUUGGUACUUGUCUUUUUGGUCGUCUGAAUAGCUUGUUCACCUUUGUAUCAGAAUUAUAGAAACAUCUUUUAUAGUCAGCUCCUUACUCGUUGCUUGUGCUUGUUCUACUAGUUAAGAUGGAUUACUCAGCAGUUAUGGUGAUUCAGAGAUUCUUUGUGUUUGCAUUUUCUUGCAGAUUCUGUAUCAUCCAAUCUUUCCAACUUAAUACUAUGCCUCCUCCAUUUCUUCUACCUCCUCUCAGCAGUAUACCCCCCUUGCUUAACUCUCCAUAUGAACUGCUUUCAGAUUUGAGUUGGUUGUAAAAAUAAAGAGCUAUUUGAUGAGAGAAAAAUUAUAUUAAGAGCUCCUAGAUUGGAAAUUGCUUUAGGCAUUGCCAAUUUUUCUUUUUUUUAGAAUUGAAUGAAGGAAACUUUAUGCAAACAUCCAUUUACAGUGGGUCUUCUUUAAUAAGGACUUUGGGUAAUAAGGACCUCAUAAGGUCACUAGCAUGUGAUUAAUAUUUCAGCAUGUUUGUUCUAUGUUAUAACUCUUUGCAAAACCAAGACAGUUUAUGCAAUCUAUAAAGUUAUUCUAUAUAUCAAAGAUCAAUUUCAGUCUAUAUUUCUAGCCUAUAGGAGAACAUUUUAUUAUUAUAAUUAUUUAAUAUUUGUAUAGUGAUUCUUCUCCAAGAGAGUGACAAACAUUUAGACAUGGUCUUUACUCAUCUCUUAACGUAAGAUUAAUAUUUAUACCCUUUAUAUACAAAUCUUUACUAUAGUAAAUCAUUUUUUUAGGACUGAUGAAUUCUAGCUGGGCUAGAACUUUAAAGUAUUAAUUUAUUGUGUAACCUUCAACUUCAAUUCUUCUGGAAUUAUUUAGAGAACAAAACUUUCAACUCAUGUCAAAGUUUUUUGUUGAUGUACAUAUGCUCAACUGUAUUAGUAUUCUUUGAUUGAUUUAUUAUGAAGAUAAUUGGCACUGCCAUUAAUUUAAACUACAGAGUUAAGGAUUUUUAUACUAUGGAUUAUUUAUUGACAAAUUUAAAGAAUUCAGUAGGUAUUUGUCUUAGUUGUGAAAAGCAUGUGUUUUUCCCCCUCAUGUCUUGAAAUUUGUUUUUCCUUUGUAUAGACAAAUACUGAAUGAGUUGUAUCAACUUGACAAUACAUUAUCAAAAAGGAGAACACAUAUUGUGGAGAUAAAAUGUAUUUUACUGCUUUUGGAGUUCUGCUGAAAAGCUUUAUAUGUGGAUUUUAUUUUUAACAAUGCACUAAGGGCUUACUUUUUAUUCUUUAUGUAUUGAGGUGUAUUUGUUCUAGC
rnacentral:lncRNA from 1 species